UGGGGAAUAUUGGACAAUGGGCGAAAGCCUGAUCCAGCCAUGCCGCGUGUGUGAAGAAGGUCUUCGGAUUGUAAAGCACUUUAAGUUGGGAGGAAGGGCAGUAAGCGAAUACCUUGCUGUUUUGACGUUACCGACAGAAUAAGCACCGGCUAACUCUGUGCCAGCAGCCGCGGUAAUACAGAGGGUGCAAGCGUUAAUCGGAAUUACUGGGCGUAAAGCGCGCGUAGGUGGUUCGUUAAGUUGAAUGUGAAAGCCCCGGGCUCAACCUGGGAACUGCAUCCAAAACUGGCGAGCUAGAGUAGGGCAGAGGGUGGUGGAAUUUCCUGUGUAGCGGUGAAAUGCGUAGAUAUAGGAAGGAACACCAGUGGCGAAGGCGACCACCUGGGCUCAUACUGACUCUGAGGUGCGCACGCGUGGGUAGCAAACAGG
rnacentral:rRNA from 1 species